CCUACGGGAGGCAGCAGUGGGGAAUCUUGGACAAUGGGGGCAACCCUGAUCCAGCCAUGCCGCGUGUGUGAAGAAGGCCCUAGGGUUGUAAAGCACUUUCAGUAGGGAGGAAGGCUUCGGGUUAAUACCCUGGAGUACUUGACGUUACCUACAGAAGAAGCACCGGCUAAUUUCGUGCCAGCAGCCGCGGUAAU
rnacentral:rRNA from 1 species